UCUCCUAUCUCAUCUAACGAAGAAGCCCUGAAAGCCCUCACCAGGACGCAUCCCUGAAACAUCACACUUGCGGCUCCUGAUGCACUGAACUCGCUUCCCUGGAUAUACACGUCGUUCUGGCUCCUGCACUCCUUCUUGAGUCUAUCCAGAGGGAUGCCUGCUUAGACCAUGAUCAUCCUGGCUCCUGUCCGACAAGAAGAAUAUGCUUUAAUGGAGGUCCAAGUUCAAUGCUUUCACCAAUGAACCUACGAUGUUUGGCACCCAGUAAUGAUGACGCUGAUCCUACUGGAGAAACGUUUGGUCCCAUCCAGGGUAGGUGUUGGUAGAGGUGAGGAGAUCCUAGCAAAGCU
rnacentral:lncRNA from 1 species